GUGGGAUUUGACAAAAGAGAAUGCAGUUUGCUCAAAUAGCGUCCCGAUGUUUGCCUAUUAUCCUGUCUGUUUAGGUGAUCUCUAAUUAGGAGUGGUGCAUUCUGAGGUGGAGAGGACAAGUUGUCAUUCAGAAGUGUAGUGAUCGUGGCCAUGGGGUAUGGAUAAGACCCCCCAAAGAGGAAUUGGACACAAGGGAAUUAAGAUCACCCAAAGCAUCGUCCCGAUGUUCACCUAUUAUCGUGUCUCUUUAGGUGAUCUUGAAUUAGGAGUGGUGCAUUCUGAGGUGGAGAGGACAAGUUGGCAUUCAAAGGU